rnacentral:rRNA from 1 species
UACCUGACAGCUAGCCUUAUCCUCUUAGCAUAUUGGAUGCCAUUUGCUUAUAAUACCUUAAAAAGGUUAAAUAAAACAUUUUUCCCUCUGAGUAUGGGUGAUAGAAAAGAGAUUAAAGAGCUAUAGAGAAAGUACCGUAAGGGAGGGCUGAAAAAACAAUGAAAUAUUAUAAAGUGUAAAAAAGCAGAGCUUUGUUCUCGUACCUUUUGCAUCAUGACUUAGUUAGUAUAUUCAAGCAAAGCGUGUUUUAGUUUGCUGCCCCGAAACCCGUGCUAGCUUGUCCAAGACAGCCUAUAAUAAGGGCGAACCCGUCUCUGUGGCAAUAGGGUGGGAAGAGCUUUGAGUAGGGGUGAGAUGCCUAUCGAGCCUGGUGAUAGCUGGUUGCUUGGGUAAUGAGUAGGAGUUCAGCUCUUAGGGUUCUUUUCUAUAUGAAAAUUAUUAGCUUGGAAAGAAAUCUAAGGAGUUAGUCUAAAGGGGUACAGCCCUUUAGAUAGUAUUACAAAAUUAUUAGAUGGGUGAGGGCCUUGUAAAUUUAAGGGGUAAAUAUAAGUGGGCUUGAGUGCAGCCAUCUUUAUGAAAAGCGUUAUAGCUUAGAUGACCCUUUCCUUUAGAUUUUGGUAAGUUUACCCGCCCCCUCUAAGUAUAACCAAGCCUUUCUAUGUGAACAUAGAAAAGAUAAUGCUAAGAUGAGUAACAAGAAGGAUAUGUCCUUCUCCUUGCACAAGUGUAGAUCGAAGUGGACAAACCAUCGAAGUUUAACGGUCCCUAUUGUGGGGGGGGUGUGACCGGAGAUUAAAAAGCAGGAAAAUGGUCCACAUAGUCCGUUAAUCCAACACAGGUGUGCUGUGGGAAAGAUUUAAAGGAAAAGAAGGAACUCGGCAAACAUGGGCCCCGCCUGUUUACCAAAAACAUCGCCUCUUGUAUAUUUGUAAAUAAGAGGUCUUACCUGCCCUGUGACUUAUGUUUAACGGCCGCGGUACUCUGACCGUGCAAAGGUAGCACAAUCACUUGUCUUUUAAAUAGAGACUGGUAUGAAUGGUUUGACGAGGGCUUGACUGUCUCCUUUUCUCAAUCAGUGAAAUUGAUCUUCCCGUGCAGAAGCGGGGGUGUUAUUAUAAGACGAGAAGACCCUGUGGAGUUUUAAUCAUAUGGUAGUCUUUGCAAGCAGAUUUUUUCUCUAAAAAGAUAAACUAGUGAGGUUCUGUCCUUAUGAUUUUGGUUGGGGUGACUGUGGGGAAUAAAAAACCCCCAUGUGGGAUAGGAGUACAACUUUUUAAGACUAGGGUGAUGGCCCUAAACAUCAGAACGUUUGACCUUUUAGAUCCGGCAAAGCCGAUUAACAAAACAAAUUACCCCAGGGAUAACAGCGCAAUCCCCUCCGAGAGUCCUUAUCGAAAAGGGGGUUUACGACCUCGAUGUUGGAUCAGGACAUCCUAAUGGUGUAGGCGCUAUUAAGGGUUCGUUUGUUCAACGAUUAAAGUCCUACGUGAUCUGAGUUCAUACCGGGGUGACCCAGGUCAGAUUCUAUCUAUAUUUUGACCUUCUUUAGUACGAAAGGAGUGAGAAGGUAGGGCCAAUGUUAAAGACACGCCCUUUCUUUAAUUCUUGAGGACAGCUAAAAGAGGUGAAAAGACGUGUUAAUUGUUCAACGAGACCAGGAGAA